GCCUAGCCACCCUUGAAGGUAUUAAAGAGGUUCUCUCUCGUCUGAUCUCGGAAGCUAAGCAGGGUCGGGCCUGGUUAGUACUUGGAUGGGAGACCGCCUGGGAAUACCAGGUGCUGUAGGCU
rnacentral:rRNA from 1 species